rnacentral:lncRNA from 1 species
GGGCCGCUCUCUGCCAGGCUUAGCUCGGGUCAAGGGCGCAGGGCCGGGAGAGGAUGUUGGCCGCGGCCCCCGACGCCAAGUGGGCACGGAUUGCCACUGGCGACAGGUAGAUUUCUCUCUCUGGGAAAUCUGCCAAACGCUUUUCUAAAGCUCCCAGCGUGUCCUCUGCCUGCAGCCCCUACCCUACGCCCCCCAGCUCAGGCGCCUCGCUCCAGGCAGGUCGCCUCUGGGCCUUUGCACAGAACGUCCGGUUGUCGCUGGCGUCGCCCACUGUGAACUGGCCCUAGAUUCUCCCAGACCCAGAAUAGUGCUCCUGCUUUACGCAUCGCACGCAGCCUCUGCAGUGCAACCCGAGCUGCCUGGGACCUAGGACCGACCCCUCCCUGCGAGGACCCCGGCUCGGCUGGCCUGCACAGGAGCCUGGCUCCGCGCUGGUUACACCAGUCACCGCCAGGCGGCGCGCGCCCCAGCUGACCUCGUUAGCGAUGUCUCUCCUUGUGAUCCCCACUCUGAGCCCCAGCCCAGCGCUGGGCAGUUUGUGCCGACAGCUGGGGGAAGACUUCCAUGUGCUAAUGAACUCCGUAGGUCGUCGGCAGCCAGAGAAACCCACCGCAAAUAACAGCGCAAGCCCGGUGCGUCUUAGGAGCAUUUGGCGAAGGGCCUUCCGGGGCCCCAUGCAGACAGGAGAUUCGCCAGCUGAUGAUGAGGCCCUGGAUGAAAGCUAGGAAUUCGAGCCCCUGCUGCUGGAGGGAGGCUGGCGGCUUCAAGAGGUGGGAUUGGCAUGUUGAUGCCUGACUCAGUGAUGGGUGAGAAGUGGCGAGUGUAAGAGUGAUUCUCCAAGUUCCGCUCAACCCCAGAGUCUGCAGCUGGGGAUCUUCCCCAGGGAUGCCGGGCCUUUGGGGGUGAGCAGCAGAGAAGGGGGUUGAUCUAGACAGGACGACUUUGAAGGCUCCGAGGGACAGCUGGGAAGGUCCACCCACAUCCCAGGUGGACACUCCAGCCUGGAGCCAGGAGCCAAGUCUUGGGAGGAGAACUGGAAUUGGCCAGAGGAUGGAGAGGCGCAGCUGUCCCCUCGCUGAGGGCAGAGAGCAGAGGGUGGGAGAGGAGAGGCCCUCAGGGGUCAGGUGGUG